ensembl:lncRNA
AUGAUUCAGGAGACAGAAGAUGAAUUCAUGCUCUUCAUUCACAUACUCAACAAACAAAUAUCAUUGAACACAUCCUGUGUGCAAAGCACUAUUUGGGACAGGGUGCCACAGCAGCAAACAAAGUGGACUGAAAAAUCAGCAUUCAACAAGACUAAAAAUGGAAGAUUUAAGAGCAAAGCAUUAAGACCUGUGCCAGAAUUGUAAUUUCUUUAAAAGAGAAAAUGAAUUAGCUGUCACAUCCCAGAUGGAUGAACAUAAGGCAAGCUAAUCUCUAGCCAGUGAGCAAAUAUUGAGGGAAGGCCCUCUCCCACCCUGUCCUGUGCAUCAGGAGAACCUCUAUCCAGCUCCACACUCAGCAGGGCCUCACCUGCCCUCUACCUUUCCCCUCUUCAGUGCUCCAUCAGUUCUAAAGGAACUAUAAAAAGGCAUAUAGGGUAUGGUCAUUUAUUAGCUAGCACAAAUUUCUAGUUCUUUCUAAGAAAGUUAAAACGUGUACAUAAUUUUAAAUAUUAUGCAUUGUGGAUUUUGUAACUGUCAACCACAAUGUAAGUUUUAUUAGUACUGAAUUAGAAUAGUAAUCAGAAUCAUAACUGUAGCCAUAAUUGUAAUAUAGAGCUUCUUACUGUAAUUUCUAUUAUUUAACCUCUUGGCUUCAUACUAACUUCAUGUUCUGUUCAUAGUGAACCUACUUUGUGUCAGAUGUGGGGAAAGAGAGAGAAGUGAGAGUGUGGGCUAUAUUCUCAUAGAACUCAUAUUCUAAAGGAGGAGACAGAAAACAUAAGUAAGUGCAUAAAGAAAGAUCUGGUGAUAUAAGCUAUAAAGACAACAAAACUGGGUGAUGCCAUUCAGCAUAGAGAACAAUUGGGUUGAAGGGAAAGGGCUCCUACUUUAGUAUGGAUCAUUUCAAUUUCCCUGGGAUGCAGAAAUGAGGUGAUUUCUAGAUGAUAAUGAGGAGGCUAAUCUGGCUAAGAUGGGGCCAAGCAGAAGGAAGAUCAUGAAGAAAUCCUAGAGAUGCGUUAUGCUUAGGGCAUCCUCUGGGUAGACAGGUGGCCACUAAGUGCAGAGAGCACAGGAGAUCCCCAGUAUGAGAUGAAAUCAGAGAGAUGUGAAGGUCACAGCAAGAUUAUACAGAGCUUUUAGAUCUGAAAUUAAAAAUGCGUUGAAUCUUCUUGCUGAUGGAUUCUAUGUUCACAUAUGACAUGACCUAACUUUUCUCCCUGAAUGCAUGUGCAGAAUGGAUUGCAAAGGGAGCCAAGCAUGGAAGGUGAGGUCAAUUCAGAGGCUAGGUGCUGAAUAUUGGAAACCUGUACUGAGUUCAGGGCAGUAGUGAAAACAGAUGAGAGCCAGUAAGACUUGAGGACCAAUUGGAUGUAGAAGCUGAGGUGCCUCAUGUCUUCAGAGAUCUUUGUGUAAUAACUAUUAUACAAAUAGAUGUUGAUGUGUUCAACCUUCUAUGUACAUACUUUCUGUUAUUCUCUACCUAACCCUAGAAAAAAAGGUAAAAUUAAUUGCUUUUGCAAUUCAUAAAACAAAGGAAAAAUAUGAACAUUCUAAUUAUAUGAAAAUCUUGUCAAGUUAUGGUUAGAAAUUGUGUUUUGGUGUCUGGGCAUCACCUCAGGGAAGACAAGGAGAUAGGAUUAGUAAAACAGUAGGGUAUUUAAGUAAAGGAAACAAAGAUCUUCCAUUUUCAAGAUAUAAAGGAGUAGGGUAAUAAAGUUGAAAAAUAAAAGAAUUAUUUGUUCCUA